UCCCUGGUAGUAUAUCGGUUAGUACACGCGCCUGUCAUACAGCUGGGUAAACAUGACAAGCUUAUCGCGCGAAAGCUGGGUUCGACUCCCAGCCAGGGAG